rnacentral:rRNA from 1 species
AGCGAACGCUAGCGGCGGGCCUAACACAUGCAAGUCGAGCGGAGGGGCAACCCUCAGCGGCGAACGGGUGAGUAACACGUAGGUAAUGUACCCUCUGGUGGGGAAUAACCGUGGGAAACCAUGGCUAAUACCGCAUAUGUCUUUCGAGAUGAAAGCAGCAAUGCGCCAGAGGAGCAGCCUGCGGCCGAUUAUUUAGUCCUAGUUGGUGAGGUAAUGGCUCACCAAGGGUACGAUCGGUAGCUGGUCUGAGAGGAUGAUCAGCCACACUGGAACUGAGACACGGUCCAGACUCCUACGGGAGGCAGCAGUGGGGAAUAUUGCGCAAUGGGCGAAAGCCUGACGCAGCCACGCCGCGUGAGUGAUGAAGGCCUUCGGUUGUAAAGCUCUGUCGGGAGGGGAAGGAAGGGGACGAACCCGUCGACGGUACCUCGCAAGAAAGACACCGCGUAACUCUGUGCCAGCA